rnacentral:rRNA from 1 species
GCUAGUAAUGGCAGGUCAGCAUACUGCCGUGAAUACGUUCCCGGGCCUUGUACACACCGCCCGUCACACCAUGAGAGUUGGGGAUACCCGAAGCCUGUGAGCUAACUUUUAGAGGCAGCAGUCGAAGGUAGAAUCAAUGAUUGGGGUGAAGUCGUAACAAGGUACC